CAUCCUUCUAACUCUAGAGCACCCACAUAUAUCACUCCCAAACUUCCACAAAAUCCUCACCUAAUAUAGCCAAUGCUCAUACUACAAAUUGAACAUGACAAAAACUCUUGCAACAGGAACUCACAUUCGUGUACAGGACGUGGAACAACUAAAAGCCAACUUUAAUUACGACUGGAGGCAAGAUGGUAUAAAAUUCCUAGGCAUAAACUUCACACCCACACCCUCCAAGCUAUACAAAGCAAACUACAUUAAACGCGAAAUCCAAAGCACACUGCAAGGCUGGAGGUGAAAGUACAUCUCAUGGGCAGGACG